UCCACCGGUAGAAACCAGCCGGCCGCUGGGGCAGGGCGGCGAAAGGUCAGUCGGCCGAGAGGAGUCCGUGGAGCAACCGUUUCAUAGCCUCAGGGAAAGGACCGGGCGUGCUCACAAGCCCCCUAACCCAUGGCUUAAACACCCACUUCCUAAGCCUGGGUGACAUGAGACUCCUUAUGUAUCAGCAUAUCAUUAUCACUUAUGUUCUUCCACGGUUCCUGAAUAUCACAUGUGGUGAUAAACACGAAGAUGUAUGAAAAAUUGUGUUCGUUGAGAGAAAAUGGGAGGCUUUUCAUUCUACUUCCACAUUUUCAUUCCAGCAGCUUUUCUCUUUUGGAAGGUUCUUAUGCCUUUGUUUGAAAAACAUGGUUCCCUGUGAAAUUUUACAUGUAGAAGAAAGCUUCACACUACAAGAGCUCUCAGGAUAUAAUUAUUUCAGACAGAUACUGGGAACAUACGAUGGCUUAUCAAUCUAAGAUGGCCUUCCUGUCCUUCGGAUUGAACUGAAACCAUCCCUGAUUGCAGGGAUAGGUAGAUGAUCCAGGCUUGGACAAUCAAAAUAUUGAACCACCCUGGACCUACAAGUGUUUCUGGGAUGGAAACAUGCAAACGUUGGCCUAAAUUGUUGUGCUAGGCAGCCCAGUACAUUUCUCCAAUGCCUGCCUCUCAAGCACUGUGAAAAAUCACUUUCUCUGGUUGUAUUCUUGGAGCCCCUGCUAAUUCAUUAUUGAAAAAUACCUGCUGCCUGCAUUUGGCCUUGUGUUGUCAUUUACUUGGUACUUCCUAAGGGUGGCUACUCCAAUGAAGCUUUAAUAUAUGUACUGAAAGAAGAUCCUCUCAUACUGCCACAGCCAACAGAUAAGGUUGUAAAUCUUUAUUUGGGAGAAGCCGUCAAGGACAGUUCUGUGAAAUGAAAGGAUCUCUGGAUCACCACAAAGUCUGGCUCAGUAACUAUGGCUUUGCAAACACUAAACAUUCCUAUCCCAAGUCCUGUAGAUGGCUUGAAAUAGCAUACAUAAGCAUGCCUUAUAAACAUCUUCAGUCUUUAUCAACUCUUUGGAGAUUCAGCCAUUCUUUUUUGUACUUUAGGGAAUUAAAUCAUUUUAUAAUGUGGUAUAAAUCUGAGCAUGGCAGAUGGCAGAAGAAAUUUUGUCAUAUGUUUUUAAAGAAAUAAAAAUGUAUUAUGUUUUAAAA